rnacentral:tRNA from 1 species
GGAGGGGUGGCCGAGAGGCUUAAGGCGCACGCUUGGAAAGCGUGUGUACGCAAGUACCGUGAGUUCGAAUCUCACCUCCUCCG